rnacentral:rRNA from 1 species
AGUGAACGCUGGCGGUAGGCCUAACACAUGCAAGUCGAACGGCAGCACAGUAAGAGCUUGCUCUUACGGGUGGCGAGUGGCGGACGGAUGAGGAAUACAUCGGAAUCUACUUUUUCGUGGGGGAUAACGUAGGGAAACUUACGCUAAUACCGCAUACGACCUACGGGUGAAAGCAGGGGAUCUUCGGACCUUGCGCGAUUGAAUGAGCCGAUGUCGGAUUAGCUAGUUGGCGGGGUAAAGGCCCACCAAGGCGACGAUCCGUAGCUAGUCUGAGAGGAUGAUCAGCCACACUGGAACUGAGACACGGUCCAGACUCCUACGGGAGGCAGCAGUGGGGAAUAUUGGACAAUGGGCGCAAGCCUGAUCCAGCCAUACCGCGUGGGUGAAGAAGGCCUUCGGGUUGUAAAGCCCUUUUGUUGGGAAAGAAAAGCAGCAGGUUAAUACCCCGCUGUUCUGACGGUACCCAAAGAAUAAGCACCGGCUAACUUCGUG